rnacentral:tRNA from 1 species
GGGCGAUUAGCUCAGCUGGGAGAGCACCUGCCUUACAAGCAGGGGGUCAGUGGUUCGAGCCCACUAUCGCCCACCA